ensembl:lncRNA FLJ40194 uncharacterized FLJ40194
GAUGUCACAGGAGGGUUCCAUGAGCAAUAACUUAUAAGCUGAGACCUGCAGGAUGAACAGGAGUUAGGUGAAGAGGAGAACGAUGUCCAGGCAGGGGCCGGGGAAGCUCGUGCCAAGGCACUGAGGGGAAGUGCUGCAAUGAACCUCAGAGGCUGGAUCUUGCUGACUCAUCUGGGGUACCAAGGACAGACAAAGGACAUGGAGUCCAGGCCCAGGAGGCGAUACCAGGCCAGCAGUUUCACUGAUGCUCCUGUCAUGACGAUGACUGCCUCCCUCCUCCCCUUGGUCCCUGACUCAGUGUCUGCAGUGACCAGGCACCAGGCAGGGAGCAAGGAACCAAGCCUUUCACCUGCUCCCACCAACUCCUAUGGUGCUCCCUUUCCAAGGCUAGGUCUCCUCUCCACCCAGUUCCUUAUCACGUACCAUGAGAAGCUGUCACCUUGGCAACUGUCACCUUCUGGUGAGAUUUACAAUUGCACUGCUACAACUGCUUGUGGCAUGGUAAAGUUGCACCAGGACCUCUGCUGUCCAUGAGAUCAAAGUUCCAGGCCAAGGCACCAGGGGCACGAACAGUGUUGCCCGCAUGGAACUCACACUUAAUGGGAGCGGCAGCCAACAGAGACGGGUCUCACUAUGUUGCCCAGGCUGGUCUCAAGUUCCUGGAUUCAAUGUUCUUGCCUUGGCUUCUCAAAGUACCAGGAUUAUAGGCAUGAGCCACUGUGCCAGGCCCAAACCUAGCUUCUGAGUGGAAAAAUUUCUGCUGCCCCACCAGCUUCAGGAAGUGGGAGUCAACUCUAGUCACUGUGGUGAUGCAGAGAUAAUACGGCUGAUAAACCCCUUAUUUUUCUCUC